UACGUAGGGGGCUAGCGUUGUCCGGAAUCAUUGGGCGUAAAGAGCGUGUAGGCGGUCCGGUAAGUCCGCUGUGAAAGUCGGGGGCUCAACCCUCGAAUGCCGGUGGAUACUGUCGGGCUAGAGUGCGGAAGAGGCGAGUGGAAUUCCUGGUGUAGCGGUGAAAUGCGCAGAUAUCAGGAGGAACACCGAUGGCGAAGGCAGGUCUCUGGGCCACUACUGACGCUGAGAAGCGAAAGCAUGGGGAGCGAACAGG
rnacentral:rRNA from 1 species